AGACGCUGCUGCCUGUGAGUCUUGGGCCC
rnacentral:piRNA from 1 species